rnacentral:rRNA from 1 species
CCAGAGGCCAAUGCUAUCGGGGUUCGAUUAAGCCAUGCGAGUUGAGAGGGUUCAGACCCUUGGCGGAUUGCUCAGUAACACGUGGAUAACCUGCCCUAAGGUGGAGCAUAACCCCGGGAAACUGGGGAUAAUACUCCAUAGAUUAGAGACACUGGUAUGUUCUUUAGUCGAAAGUUCUGGUGCCUUAGGAUGGAUCUGCGGUCGAUUAGGUUGUUGUUGGGGUAACGGCCCAACAAGCUUGUAAUCGAUACGGGUUGUGGGAGCAAGAGCCCGGAGAUGGAAUUUGAGACAAGAUUCCAGGCCUUAAGGGGUGCAGCAGGCGCGAAAACUUUACAAUGCAGGAAACUGUGAUUAGGGAACUCCGAGUGCCCGUAUACGCGGGCUGUCCAGGUGUUUAAAA